AGUGAACGCUGGCGGUAGGCCUAACACAUGCAAGUCGAACGGCAGCACAGUAAGAGCUUGCUCCUACGGGUGGCGAGUGGCGGACGGGUGAGGAAUACAUCGGAAUCUACUUUUUCGUGGGGGAUAACGUAGGGAAACUUACGCUAAUACCGCAUACGACCUACGGGUGAAAGCAGGGGAUCUUCGGACCUUGCGCGAUUGGAUGAGCCGAUGUCGGAUUAGCUAGUUGGCGGGGUAAAGGCCCACCAAGGCGACGAUCCGUAGCUGGUCUGAGAGGAUGAUCAGCCACACUGGAACUGAGACACGGUCCAGACUCCUACGGGAGGCAGCAGUGGGGAAUAUUGGACAAUGGGCGCAUGCCUGAUCCAGCCAUACCGCGUGGGUGAAGAAGGCCUUCGGGUUGUAAAGCCCUUUUGUUGGGAAAGAAAAGCAGCAGGUUAAUACCCCGCUGUUCUGACGGUACCCAAAGAAUAAGCACCGGCUAACUUCGUG
rnacentral:rRNA from 1 species